UGAGGAAUAUUGGUCAAUGGGCGCAAGCCUGAACCAGCCAUCCCGCGUGAAGGAAGAAUGCGCUAUGCGUUGUAAACUUCUUUUCCAGGGGACGAAAAUACCGUACGAGUACGGGACUGACGGUACCUUGGGAAUAAGCAUCGGCUAACUCCGUGCCAGCAGCCGCGGUAAUACGGAGGAUGCGAGCGUUAUCCGGAUUCAUUGGGUUUAAAGGGUGCGUAGGCGGAAAGAUAAGUCAGUGGUGAAAUUCUGCAGCUUAACUGUAGACGUGCCAUUGAUACUGUCAGUCUAGAGUGUGGUCAAGGUAGGCGGAAUGUGUAAUGUAGCGGUGAAAUGCUUAGAUAUUACACAGAACACCGAUUGCGAAGGCAGCUUACUGGGCCAUUACUGACGCUGAUGCACGAAAGCGUGGGGAUCAAACAGG
rnacentral:rRNA from 1 species